rnacentral:rRNA from 1 species
AUGUCUGUGACGAGACUCAGCAUGGUUAAUCUGCUGGCGUUUUUGCUGCUGCUGUUCUAUGGAGCUGGCAACAUCAAUUGCUCAACAGUCAAUCACGAGAACAGUAGAGACAUGCGCUCGUUGCUGGAUUUCAAAGCGGCUACCAACGACCCAACAGAUGCCUUGAGAUCCUGGGACAGAAGCGUCCACUACUGCAACUGGACGGGUGUCAUUUGCAGCUCAUUGUGUCCAGGGCGUGUCGCCGCUCUGCAACUCGCCGGCCAAAGCUUGUCUGGCGAGAUCACCCCCUCUCUUGGGAACUUAACGUUCCUUAAGGUCCUCAACUUGUCCUCCAAUGGCUUCUCAGGCCAGUUAACUCCCCUAAACCUAAACCAACUCCAUGAGCUGGUCCUCCUUGACCUCAGCUCCAAUUCAUUCCAGGGGACGAUUCCUGACUCACUCAUGAAUUGUUCAAAACUACAGUAUCUAGUUCUUUCUGGAAACAUGCUAGAAGGUCCAAUCCCCAAGAAAAUUGGUUCUCUUUAUAAUCUAUUAGGCUUAGGCCUUUCUAGGAAUAAUCUUAUUGGGGUCAUCCCACUAACCAUCAGCAACUCCACCCAGUUAGAACAACUUAGCCUUGAAGAAAAUCAACUAGGGGGGAGCAUUCCUGAUGUGUUUGGGCAAUGGUCCAAGAUGUUGGAAUUGUCCGUAGGUGAAAAUAGGCUCUCAGGUCGAAUACCACCUUCAAUCUUUAAUCUGACUUCGCUUCAAAUAUUAGAUUUGUAUGCAAAUAAGCUACAAGGGGAAUUGCUGCUUGACAUUGGCGAUACCCUCCCUGAAAUCAUAAUUUUUACGCUGGGCCAGAACAUUCUUGAAGGUCACAUCCCAGCUUCCCUAGGAAACGCUUCACGGCUGCAAGUGAUAGAUUUGUCUUCUAACAGUUUCGUUGGAGAAAUUCCUACUUUCGGAAAGCUACUAAACCUUAUGAACAUGAACCUUGGAUAUAAUAUGCUUGAAUCAAGUGAAAGCCAAAGAUGGGAAUCCUUGUAUGGACUAACAAACUGUAGUAAUCUAUAUGCGCUAACAUUAGAUAGUAAUCAGCUGCAAGGAGCCAUACCAGAUUUGGUCGGUAGGUUAUCCACUAAACUCAGACGUCUACACAUGGGUGGAAACAAUCUGUCGGGAAUAGUUCCUUUAAGCCUAGCAAACCUUAGUAGCAUAAUCGAUUUGGAUCUUAGCAACAACAAUUUAACUGGUACAGUCGAAGGAUGGUUAGGGAGUCUCAAAAACUUACAAUCUUUAGAUCUUCAUGGAAAUAAUUUCAUUGGAUCCAUUCCACCAUCUUUUGGCAACCUUUCAGAACUGACAAUACUUUCUUUAGCACAAAAUGAAUUUAAAGGUCACAUACCUCCCACAUUAGGAAAACUUUCACAACUCUCAAGGCUGGACCUUAGCUAUAAUAAUCUGCAAGGUGACAUACCUCCAGAAAUUAGUGAGCUUAAACAACUCAUUGCACUAUACCUCUCUUCUAGCAGACUCUCGGGAAAAAUUCCUGAUGAUCUGGGCAAGUGUCAGGGCCUCGUAACCAUCCAAAUGGACCACAAUAAUCUCACGGGCGUCAUUCCAACCUCUUUAGGCAACCUUUUGAGCUUGUACAUGCUCAACCUGUCCUAUAAUGAUUUAUCAGGUGCCAUCCCAACAGUUCUAAGUGACCUUCAACUUCUUAGCAAGUUAGACCUAUCAUAUAAUCGUCUCCAAGGAGCACUCCCAAGAAAUGGAGUGUUUGAGCACCCUGCAAACGUUUCACUUGAUGGCAACCAGGGACUUUGUGGACGGGCAACCGGUUUCCAUGUGCCCUCAUGCCCAGAUGCCUCGCCGAGAACAGGAAGACAUUAUCGUUUGCUUACGGUGUUGAUCCCAAUAAUUGGCUUCCUGUCGCUGGCACUGUUGACUUGCUUUAUAAUCCAUGAGAAGAUACCACAAGCAACGUUUUCAUUGUUGCCUUCUCUUAGGGAGAAAUUCCCUAGAGUUUCUUACUGGGAUCUAGCUCGAGCGACAGGCAACUUCUCUGAGAUUAACUUGAUUGGCGAAGGAAGUUACAGUUCAGUGUACAAAGGAAAGUUGAGACAAGUUAAAACGGAAAUAGCAGUCAAGAUACUUGACCUUGACAUUCCAGGUGCCGAAGGAAGUUUUGCAUUAGAAUGCAAAGCGUUGAGAGGCAUCCGUCACAGAAACAUUGUUCCUCUCAUAACUGAAUGCUCUGCAAUCGACAACAAAGGCAAUGCUUUCAGAGCUCUAAUCUAUGCUUUCAUGCCCAAUGGCAACUUGGAUACUUGGUUGCAUCAUCAAGGGAAUCAGGCAGCUGCAAGGCAUUUAAGCUUAGCUCAAAGAAUAAACAUCGCUAUUAACAUAGCUGAUGCAUUGGACUAUCUGCACCAUGAUACUUGGAGGCCCAUCAUCCAUUGUGAUUUGAAGCCGAGUAACAUACUCCUAGACAUUCAUAUGAAUGCCUGUCUGGGAGACUUUGGCAUCGCAAGGUUCUACAUUGAUUCUAAACUAAGAACGGUCGGAGAUUCAAGUUCAAUUGCUGCAAACGGCACUCUGGGAUAUAUGGCUCCAGAGUAUGCUGAAAGCGGUCAUGCAUCUACUUGUGGGGACGUAUAUAGUUUCGGAAUAGUACUCUUGGAGAUGCUGACAGGAAAAAGACCAACAGAUCAUAUGUUCAGGAAUGAACUCACCAUUGUCAGAUUUGUGGAAACGAAUUUUCCUGAUCACAUAUUAAAUUUUCUGGAUUCCUGUCUGCUAGAUGAAUGCAAUGAUGCCAUCAACCAAGUAGCAGCAGGACUGGAAAAUCCGGCAAUCUUUCAGUCCUUGUUAUCUUUGCUACGGAUAGCACUUCUUUGUACACGCCAAUCCCCAACUGAACGGCUUAACAUGAGGGAAGUAGCUACCCAAAUGCACAAAAUCAACGUGGUGAACACGGGAGGGAGAGUGAGGAGCUCAACUUCUUUUAAGAGACUUGUCAGCUGGGCUUCUCAAUGGAGCUAA